rnacentral:misc_RNA from 1 species
GUCGGGUUGGUUUGAGUUGAGUCGUCACUUGAAUUGUAUUCCUUUCAAAUCUCUACUAAAUUCACUUGCAGCCAAGACAUUUCCAGCAUUAUUUGACUUCCAGGAAAAUAGUUCUCAGGUAAGAUCUGAUGAUUGUUGCAUGUGUUUCUAUACUUGGAAGAUUUGCCCAGCGAACCAAUUGGAUGCCCUUCUCUGAAUUUCUUGAGAAUUUAGAGGUUGCUUUCAUUCCUG